GAAAAAGGGAGCUUAUUAUAGUAUCAAAAUUAUUUUUUGGUCGUGGGGCAACAGUUUGAUUUAUUUUUCUCUGUUUUUCUUGUUUCUUAUUUGUAAAAAAAGCAGGGGAAGAGGACCACUCUGUUAAGAUAUAUUCCCCCUAAUCCUCCUUACCUUUAUGAACAGAAGGAGGAGAAUAUGAAGUAACAAUGAAAGGGGGUAAACAGGAAAAGUAAUGCAAAACAGAAGGGUGAAAGAUUAUGAUACCUUCUAGGCUAUCCAUGCUUCUGGAUUGGCAAACUGUGAGUACUUUGAGAUCCAAAAAAAAAAAAAAAGGCUCAUUAAACUAUGGAUGGCAGAAGGAUUUGUAGAACAAGUAAAAGGGUCCACUGUAGAACUAACUUUCCGGAAUAUGCUUCAAGUUGUAGAGAGGAAUGAAUUUGGAAGGCCGAAGAGAUGUUCUACGGGAGCUUGCUCUAUCAAUAUCAAUCAAAGAAAAGUUUGGUGUUGUACAUGAUGGAGGAGAGGAAAUGAAAGAAUGCAAUGCACGUCUUUCGCUUACUAAUGCCUAUGUUGGAAAACAGCUAUGCUUCAGUACAGGCUUUCUUAAGCUUACAAGUUUAAGAAUUCGUAAUUUCCCUCAAUUGAAUGAGAUAAUAAUAGAAAAUGGGGUGAUGCCCAAUCUGAAAUCCCUAGAUAUUAUCAGCUGCAUGGAGUUCAACACAGUGCCCAACACCAAGAACUGGUUUUGGCAUCUGUCUUAAUGGAACUUUAAAUCGCAUUGAAGGAGAAGGAAGCGUGGAUUUUCCAAAGGUGCAGCACAUCCCAAAGAUCUACAUCUGGUAGUAAUUCGGAAUGUUUAAUGAAGGUGAUGGCCCUAAAAGUCCAGACGGAGGACAUGAGGCACUAAAUUGCUGCGGUGGUAGUCACCUGUAACAGGUGAUGUUAAAGGCACUAAAUUGCUGCUAAGGCGCAUAGAAACACUGUACAUGAACAACCAUAUUAAUUGGAUGUUUGGAUGCUAUGGAGUUUGCUUGGGAUAUUGGUGUAUUUCAGAUUGUGCUUAAAAUCUAGAUUGUUUUUAAA